AGGAUGAUAGUCAACUAUGAUAUCUGCUUUGCACGCAGUAGGUGCUUAUUUUAAGCUUAUCUUG
rnacentral:tRNA from 1 species